AACCCUGCAGGGAGGUUAUUACUAGUCGCAUUUUACGGAGGAGGAACUUGAGGCUCAGAGACGUUAAAUAACUUGUUCAAAGCCACACAACCAGGAAACGACAAAGCUUAGACGCUCUGCUUUGAACUGCCUCCAAUCGAAUUUCUAACUGCAGCAAUUCUUCAGUUAGUCAUCAGCCUUCCCGCCUCACCAGAAUGUCAGUGUCGUGAGGACAGAACUGUGCCUGUCACAUUCCCUGCAACGUCCUGAGGCUGACUCAGUGCCUGGUGCAAAUUGUUGACAUCCACUUAUCACAGUAAACCCAAAAUACGCAUCUCAUGAUAACAAAGUUGCUUCACAGUUGGGCUGGAAUGAGAUUGGACCCUGUUCUUCGCCUAGCUCCUGUUCUAAAAGGAAGGAAGGGUAGGAUGUCACCGCCUGUGACCAUUUGGUAUUUGGCAUAUCUGGGACUGUCCCUCCCUGGCCCUAGGUCAGCAUACAUAGUUUCUGUAUCAGCUGCUCCAGGCCUAUGCCUGCAUUCAUGAAUGAGCUGUGAAGAGCCAAGGUCAACAACUGGAGUUUCUGCCAGGAAGUCACACGCAUCACUCCAACUCACAUUGGUAAAAGCCAGUCCUGGGCCACUUCUACUAGUAACCUCAAGGAGGCAGGAAACUUCUCUCCUACCAAGUGCCAAAGAAGGACAAAUGGAGUAUCUGUGACCAGACUACCCUCCAUCUUUACUUUUAGACUUUUUGAGACAGUACAGAAUUCCAGGGAGGAAAAAAGUUUAUUACUGUCAUACUGCCCUCAUGUAGGUUUCUGUGGAUAUUGUUUGUAGAACUCAGGGUUUCUAUUUCACCCCCUCCGUUCAUCCCAGGCAGUGGCUUCUUCACUGCAGUAUUCCUACACACAGGGCAGAAUGAAGCAUUAGCAAAUUUCAAUAAAUAAUAGUUUAA